ACUGAUUGAUGGUGCUUGCACCUGAUUGACGAUGGAUCACCAGUGAGUGGCGGACGGGUGAGUAACACGUAGGUAACCUGCCCCGGAGCGGGGGAUAACAUUUGGAAACAGAUGCUAAUACCGCAUAACAACAAAAGCCACAUGGCUUUUGUUUGAAAGAUGGCUUUGGCUAUCACUCUGGGAUGGACCUGCGGUGCAUUAGCUAGUUGGUAAGGUAACGGCUUACCAAGGCGAUGAUGCAUAGCCGAGUUGAGAGACUGAUCGGCCACAAUGGAACUGAGACACGGUCCAUACUCCUACGGGAGGCAGCAGUAGGGAAUCUUCCACAAUGGGCGCAAGCCUGAUGGAGCAACACCGCGUGAGUGAAGAAGGGUUUCGGCUCGUAAAGCUCUGUUGUUGGAGAAGAACGUGCGUGAGAGUAACUGUUCACGCAGUGACGGUAUCCAACCAGAAAGUCACGGCUAACUACGUGCCAGCAGCCGCGGUAAUACGUAGGUGGCAAGCGUUAUCCGGAUUUAUUGGGCGUAAAGCGAGCGCAGGCGGUUGCUUAGGUCUGAUGUGAAAGCCUUCGGCUUAACCGAAGAAGUGCAUCGGAAACCGGGCGACUUGAGUGCAGAAGAGGACAGUGGAACUCCAUGUGU
rnacentral:rRNA from 1 species